UAGGGAAUCUUCCGCAAUGGGCGAAAGCCUGACGGAGCAACGCCGCGUGAGUGAUGAAGGUCUUCGGAUCGUAAAACUCUGUUAUUAGGGAAGAACAAAUGUGUAAGUAACUAUGCACGUCUUGACGGUACCUAAUCAGAAAGCCACGGCUAACUACGUGCCAGCAGCCGCGGUAAUACGUAGGUGGCAAGCGUUAUCCGGAAUUAUUGGGCGUAAAGCGCGCGUAGGCGGUUUUUUAAGUCUGAUGUGAAAGCCCACGGCUCAACCGUGGAGGGUCAUUGGAAACUGGAAAACUUGAGUGCAGAAGAGGAAAGUGGAAUUCCAUGUGUAGCGGUGAAAUGCGCAGAGAUAUGGAGGAACAACAGUGGCGAAGGAGACUUUCUGGUCUGUAACUGACGCUGAUGUGCGAAAGCGUGGGGAUCAAACAGG
rnacentral:rRNA from 1 species